rnacentral:lncRNA from 1 species
AACUGAUCGUGUUGACCAGAAUGAUGCGACUUCGCCGGCGUUUGCGGUGGUUGAGAGCGUUUGAGACCCCUGUUGAAGCGGAGGGGGGUUGUGUACCUGCAGGCACUCCGACGCUCAAGUCAGUUUGUGUAUAAGGUUUUCUUGGCUAAAAUAAUGCGUACCUUGCAAAUGAAGUGGAGUCACAUAUAUAUAGCCCCCAGCGCUGGGCCAAGACCCUUGAUGNNN